UACGAAGGGGGGCUAGCGUUGCUCGGAAUCACUGGGCGUAAAGCGCACGUAGGCGGCUUACUAAGUCAGGGGUGAAAUCCUGGAGCUCAACUCCAGAACUGCCUUUGAUACUGGUGAGCUUGAGUCCGGAAGAGGUGAGUGGAACUGCGAGUGUAGAGGUGAAAUUCGUAGAUAUUCGCAAGAACACCAGUGGCGAAGGCGGCUCACUGGUCCGGUACUGACGCUGAGGUGCGAAAGCGUGGGGAGCAAACAGGGAUUAGAAAUCCCACAUGUCCGUACCCAAGUCACCAUCGCUCCCUUAUCUAACCCCGGAUCAUUG
rnacentral:rRNA from 1 species